UGAGAAUUCUAAGGUGAGCGAGCGAACUCUCGUUAAGGAACUCGGCAAAAUGACCCCGUAACUUCGGGAGAAGGGGUGCUCUUUAGGGUUAACGCCCAGAAGAGCCGCAGUGAAUAGGCCCAAGCGACUGUUUAUCAAAAACACAGGUCUCUGCUAAACCGUAAGGUGAUGUAUAGGGGCUGACGCCUGCCCGGUGCUGGAAGGUUAAGAGGAGUGGUUAGCUUCUGCGAAGCUACGAAUCGAAGCCCCAGUAAACGGCGGCCGUAACUAUAACGGUCCUAAGGUAGCGAAAUUCCUUGUCGGGUAAGUUCCGACCCGCACGAAAGGCGUAACGAUUUGGGCACUGUCUCAACGAGAGACUCGGUGAAAUCAUAGUACCUGUGAAGAUGCAGGUUACCCGCGACAGGACGGGAAGACCCCGUGGAGCUUUACUGUAGCCUGAUAUUGAAAUUCGGCACAGCUUGUACAGGAUAGGUAGGAGCCUUUGAAACGUGAGCGCUAGCUUACGUGGAGGCGCUGGUGGGAUACUACCCUAGCUGUGUUGGCUUUCUAACCCGCACCACUUA
rnacentral:rRNA from 1 species